UUCCCGUGAAGAAGCGGGAAUUAUUUUAUAAGACGAGAAGACCCCAUGGAGCUUUAAACCCAUUUUACACUCCUGAUUUAUACUCCCUAAUAGACCCAGGACUCUGUAUAUCUGGUUUUAGGUUGGGGUGACCGCGGAGCAUAACUAAGCCUCCACGAUGAAUGGAGAAACCCCCUUAUCCAAGAACUACAUUUCUAAGAAUUAGUAUUCUAACAUUAAAUGAUCCGAUAUUCGAUCAACGAACCAAGUUACCCUGGGGAUAACAGCGCAAUCCACUUCAAGAGCCCCUAUCGACAAGUGGGUUUACGACCU
rnacentral:rRNA from 1 species